UACGUAGGGUGCAAGCGUUAAUCGGAAUUACUGGGCGUAAAGCGUGCGCAGGCGGCUUUGCAAGACAGAUGUGAAAUCCCCGGGCUCAACCUGGGAACUGCAUUUGUGACUGCAUGGCUAGAGUGCGGCAGAGGGGGAUGGAAUUCCGCGUGUAGCAGUGAAAUGCGUAGAUAUGCGGAGGAACACCGAUGGCGAAGGCAAUCCCCUGGGCCUGCACUGACGCUCAUUCACGAAAGCGUGGGGAGCAAACAGG
rnacentral:rRNA from 1 species